GGAGCACUUGUGGAUGCCUGGCCGUAUUUUCCGGGCUUAAAGAUUUGAGGCUGAGCCAGCCAUCGUGGUAAACAGUGUGCCAAUGUUGCUUGUGAAUUGGUAUUGACCUGUCAACAGCAACCAUCUCACCAUCAUCACCACUUGCUGGAUAAACAACAUCCCGUUUGAGUUGGAGAACCUACCCAGGAUGUCGGUCGAGUUACGGAUCUUUUCUUCCCCUUUCUUGAAAUGUCCACGUGUACACCCAUGUGAGUUUGGGGGUAUUCACGAGACUUUUCCUAUCCCACCCGGUGGAUUCAACUUAACUGCAGAUGGAACACUUGUAGAUGCCUGGCCGUAUUUCCCGGGCUUAAAGGUUCCUGACACACAGAAAGAGCUGCUGCUGCUGCUGCUGCUGCUGGGCUCACCAAGGUCCAGUUGGACACGAAAGGGACGAGCUGGGCGUGUA